rnacentral:rRNA from 1 species
GUUUAAGAGAAACUGUAUUAAAAAAAUGUAAAACAAAAAAAAAGUCUGCGCCUAAUCUCGGAAGCUAAGCAGUGUCGGGCCUGGUUAGUACUUGGAUGGGAGACCGCCUGGGAAUACCAGGUGCUGUAAGCU